UUUGAAUGAAUGGUGAACUGUAAUCCC
rnacentral:piRNA from 1 species